UUAAAGGGACACUCCAGGCACCCACACCACUUCUGCCCAUUGGAAUGGUCUGGGUGCCAACUCCCACUACUCUUAACCCUGCAACUGUAAUUAUUGCAGUUUUUAAUAAAUAAUAAUAAAUAAUUAGAUUGCAGGGUUAACUCCACCUCUAGUGGCUGUCUACGAGACGGCCACUAGGGGGCACUUCCUUGUCCACAGCACAGAAAACCUG